CCUACGGGAGGCAGCAGUGAGGAAUAUUGGUCAAUGGACGAGAGUCUGAACCAGCCAAGUAGCGUGAAGGAUGACUGCCCUCUGGGUUGUAAACUUCUUUUAUAUGGGAAUAAAAUGUUCCACGUGUGGGAUUUUGUAUGUACCAUAUGAAUAAGGAUCGGCUAACUUCGUGCCAGCAGCCGCGGUAAUACGGUGGAUCCGAGCGUUAUCCGGAUGUAUUGGGUUUAUAGGGAGCGUAGGUGGAUUGUUAAGUCAGUUGUGAAAGUUUGCGGCUCAACCGUAAAAUUGCAGUUGAAACUGGCAGUCUUGAGUACAGUAGAGGUGGGCGGAAUUCGUGGUGUAGCGGUGAAAUGCGUAGAUAUCACGAAGAACACCGGUUGCGAAGGCAGCUCACUGGACUGCAACUGACGCUGAGGCUCGAAAGUGUGGGUAGCAAACAGGAUUAGAUACCUUUGUAGUC
rnacentral:rRNA from 1 species